UAGCUUGGCGGCAGCUACACAUGCAGUCGAGCGGUAACAGAUCCAGCUUGCUGGAUGCUGACGAGCGGCGGACGGGUGAGUAAUGCAUAGGAAUCUGCCCGAUAGUGGGGGAUAACCUGGGGAAACCCAGGCUAAUACCGCAUACGUCCUACGGGAGAAAGGGGGCUUCGGCUCCCGCUAUCGGAUGAGCCUAUGUCGGAUUAGCUAGUUGGUGAGGUAACGGCUCACCAAGGCCACGAUCCGUAGCUGGUCUGAGAGGAUGAUCAGCCACAUCGGGACUGAGACACGGCCCGAACUCCUACGGGAGGCAGCAGUGGGGAAUAUUGGACAAUGGGGGGAACCCUGAUCCAGCCAUGCCGCGUGUGUGAAGAAGGCCCUCGGGUUGUAAAGCACUUUCAGCGAGGAAGAACGCCUAGCGGUUAAUACCCGCUAGGAAAGACAUCACUCGCAGAAGAAGCACCGGCUAACUCCGUGCCAGCAGCCGCGGUAAUACGGAGGGUGCAAGCGUUAAUCGGAAUUACUGGGCGUAAAGCGCGCGUAGGUGGCUUGAUAAGCCGGUUGUGAAAGCCCCGGGCUCAACCUGGGAACGGCAUCCGGAACUGUCAAGCUAGAGUGCAAGAGAGGAAGGUAGAAUUCCCGGUGUAGCGGUGAAAUGCGUAUAGAUCGAGAGGAAUACCAGUGGCGAAGGCGGCCUUCUGGACUGACACUGACACUGAGGUGCGAAAGCGUGGGUAGCAAACAGGAUUAGGCCCC
rnacentral:rRNA from 1 species